CCCCGAUAGAGGCAAAUCCACUUGGGUCGGGAGGGAACAUCCAUCAGAACACCAGCCAAAGACCGGCCGAUAGAGUCCCUCCCAGGUGGAAGACGAAUGCAAAUCAGUCAGAGGAAAUUAAAUUGGCUGGACAACAGAGGAGAACCAUGGAGACGUACCGUGAAACAAGUAUGGGACUGGACUGGAGAGCUAGCCCUCACCGGGACUAAGCAACGGUCGCAGAAGGGACGGGCACCUUCAUUGGACCAGAACCAUGGUCAUUAAUGAACCAAACCCACAAGGUAAUAGCUGGGAUAGAGCCACUGCCCAGGACAGAGCUCAAUAUCCUCCCAUCACCAAGCUGGGAAACGUGGAUCAAAAGUUAGGACAAAUCGGACACUGGCGGUAAAUGUCCAAAGUACCAUGGUUCCGAGGGGCUCACAUCCCUCAAAAGUACCCAGUACUCAUUUUCUAUUCGGGCUGAUCAGUUUGACACCACCCCCGUCUCUCUAGGACAUGGAAGUCUUGUUGUCAAAAACCAGGUUUCUGAUUUCGCGCCGGUACCUGUCUGGUCGACCCGCCCCUGAGUGUGUCAUUGACGAGCAGGCCAAUUUAUCGAUAUAAUCCCGGAACCGCAUAGGGUUUAUGUGCGCCCAGCCAUUGGGGGUCAAAUUCCGUUUUUGCCAAAACGUGAAUAAAUCAAAAAGUACACCUCCAAUCUGGGGCGUUUUUUGCACGAAAGGGCACAAAUAGACGAGCAUUUCCAUUUAAUUAAAAACGUUUUUGUAUAAAACAUUUUAAUAGAAAAUCGUGAUUUACGUUUUUGGGAAAAAGUGAAUUCUACCAGAAACAUAGGUGCCUGUGGAUGCGAAAUCUUUUUUAUAUGCUGGAAUUGUUGCCCAUCACGAGAGAGGGUAUGACACGAAAUUUGGGACCUCUGGCCCUUCGGGAAGUAUUUUUAAUCAUUUUUUGAAAAUUUCAGAAAUCGGUCGAAAAAAUGACAGAGUCCCCACUUUUCACAGCCGUGCACCUGGUGAUUGAAAAUAGGCACCUGGUAACCCAAAAGUUAAAAUACGGUUCUAAAUGACUUAACGGUGUUCCAGAUACCCAUGCCCGCUAUGGAAGCACCCUACUACGGCCCUCUAUCAAUGGGGGCCCGCCCUGAGUGAUUUAUGGAAGCACCCUACUACGGCCCUCUAUCAAUGGGGGCCCGCCCUGAGUGAUUUAUGGAAGGUUUAAUAUUUUAUUUUUUUCGUGCAACUGGUGAUUGAAAACGUGCACCUGGGAACCUAAAAUUACAUGAGCGGUGUUCCAAAAAGUCAUGCCCGCUAUGGGAGCACCCUAAUACGGACCUUUUAUCCAUGGGGGACCCUAUACAUCCGUGCACCUGGUGAUUGAAAACGUGCACCUGGGAACCCAAAAAUUAAAAUAUGGUCCUAAAUGCAUUUAAGGGUCAUUCUGAUUUUAAUGCCCUG
ensembl:lncRNA